GAUGAACGCUGGCGGCGUGCCUAACACAUGCAAGUCGAGCGGUAAGGCCCUUCGGGGUACACGAGCGGCGGACGGCUGAGUAACACGUGGGAACGUGCCCCAAAGUGAGGGAUAAGCUCCAGAAAUGGAGUCUAAUCCCGCAUAUGGCCUUCGGAUUAAGGCAUUUAUACGCUUUGGGAGCGGCCUGCGUACGAUUAGAUUGUUGGUGAGGUAAAGGCUCACCAAGUCGACGAUCGUUAACUGGUCUGAGAGGAUGAUCAGUCAGACUGGAACUGAGACACGGUCCAGACUCCUACGGGAGGCAGCAGUGAGGAAUCUUCCACAAUGGGGGCAACCCUGAUGGAGCAACGCCGCGUGCAGGAUGAAGGCCUUCGGGUUGUAAACUGCUUUUAUUAGCGAAGAAUAUGACGGUAACUAAUGAAUAAGGGUCGGCUAACUACGUGCCAGCAGCCGCGGUAA
rnacentral:rRNA from 1 species